UCUCUGAGAUUAAAAAUCACUUUUACAUAAGUGUCCUGGCCAACUUAUACACAUAUACACAAACAUUUACAUAUUGACUCAUCCUCAUAUUCUCAAAUGAUAUUUAAAACAUGUUUUGAAAGACACAAAUUAUAGCUUUAAUUUCAUUCAGAGAUAAUUCUAACCCAUGGGGUACAGCAUACUUAAAGCAUACUUUUUCAGCAUACUUUUUGUCCUAGUUCAGUUCAGACAAUAGGUGCAGAAAGAUACAUUUUGGGAACAAUGAAAUAAACUACCAACAAUUUUCUGUUGAAGAAAAUAAAAUAUGAGGGCAAAUGAAAUCUGUUGUAUUGUUAUUGAUCAUUGGGCCUUUUUAACCUUUAUCGCUGAAUAUGUUUUACACUCCUUGGUUUAAGUUAUGAAAAAAAAAACAUUGUUAUUUUUAAAUAAAAAUUAAAUUCAAAAACUGUUCUUUCCUGUUUAAGGAAAAAUGAGGUUUACAGUAUACACAUUUUCAUCUUGUGUAAAGUAAAAUUAUUUAAAUGCAAAGACAUUACAUUGACUUCUCUUAUCAAUCACUCUGUGGGGGUGUGUAACUGUAUACAAGGAUAAAAACAGAACAGAAUACAUUCAUCAUAAAUAGAAAGUAAAACCCAGCCCAUUAUAACCAAAUACAGUGGCUGCACUGCUGAGACAACAUCUUGAGUCUAUAUAAAAAGAGACAUCCUGGACCUCAGUGACUUCCAACCACUGGAAGGUGAGUCAAGACUCUGCUGUGCCAAAAUUAUUAAUUUAAUUUAAGUUGAUCAUUUUAAUUAAUUGAUUUUUUUUUACUGUUACAUUUGGUUGACAUUAAUAGGAAUAUUUGAUACCGUUAAAAGAAAAAAAGGGCAUACAUGAGAUUAUAUAUUAACAGAAAGCAAUAUCCAAUAAAUAGCCUGUGUCCAUGUAUUUAUUUAACAGAACCUAGCAGAAACCUUUCUGGUCUUGAAAAACAAAAAGUAAAAUCAUGGGAGAUGGUGAAAUGGAGUGUUUUAGCUCGGUGGCCAUUUACCUCUGGCAGCCAGAAAGAGAGCGAAUCAAGGCUCAGAACACCCCCUUUGAUGCCAAAACAGCAUUCUUUAUGACAGAUGUAGCUGAGAUGUACCUGAAAGAAUUGAGGACAUGGCCAACCCUUACGACUAUCCAAUGAUCAGCCAGGGUGAAAUCACUGUAAAGAGCAUUAGUGACGUGGAGGAGUUCAUUGCCACUGAUGUAUGUUGACAACUUGCAAUAUUAUUUUUAGUACCAUUUUUGAGGUGGUACAAAAAGUACAGUCUAUUCUACCUGAAGUAACGAGUUUUAUAUUGAGCAAUUUUAAUAAUGUGUCACUGAAUAAAGCACUUACACACUAUUAUUAAUAUGUCACCUGCCCAACCAGAUGGUAUAAAAUACCAAAUUUGUGUUAUAGGUCAGUGAUUGGGCUCAGACAAUCACAACUAAGUGUUUUUAUUGCCUACAUAUAAGACUGUUUUUAAGGAGAGAAUGUACAAAAUAAGAUGUAAAGGUUUGGACUGAAGAUCCUGUGCUCUGUUUACAAGAGUGUUAUAAUUGCAUGGACUUGACUAUGCUUAAAGAAAGCUGUGGUGAUGAUUUGGAUGAACUUGCUGGGGCCCAUUCUACGUAUAUCGCUAACUCAUUUAGCUGGAUUAGAUUUUUUACGAUUAAGCAUGAUCUCGGAUUAUUUGGUUCUUCGAAGCUCAUCCUUGACUUGCUGUCAUAGUAACAGGUCCCUAAUCUUAAACCUGAUCAGGAGCAGGCUUAUUUCAUAUGAGCAGGAUUAGAUUGCAUCUUUUUAAGUAGAAUUGAUAUUUAAAAUCAUUCCCAGCCACUGAUAAUUUAUUACAUGAGUACCAUACUAAUUCAGGGACAAUAAUUUAUAAUUGUUAAUAAUUUAUAAUUGAUAAAAAAAAUAAAAAUAAAAAUUUGAAAAUAAUAUUAUAAUUUUGUGUUAUCUAUAAUUCUAUAGACACAGCCAGUUUUACUCAUUGAAUGAUUUAUUUGUGACAAAAAUAUUUUCUUUUAUGAGUGUAUUUGAGUUUUACACACAUGCUGUAAAGUUAAUCUGACUUGUGCAUUAAUUUGAGUGCUGGCAGUUAUUAUGGGAGUGGCUUGAUGGAGUGCAGGUGAUGCAGACAAUUUGAUCUUGACCCUUAAGAAACUUUAAUUAAUGCUGUCACAUAACAAAUCUGCUUCAAAUAUAAAAUUACAUGAAUUGAUAAUUACAAUAUUGAAAUAAAAAUGUAAAGCCUGUACAAAUACUAGAAAUCGUGAAUAUAAAUAAAUAAAAUAAAAGAAGUGCACAUUUCAUUUAUCUAUUAUAACAUUUAUGAAGUUUUGUUCAGUUGGCUGUUUCCUUGUAAAGGUCCAGUAUGGAAGUAAAAUAAUGCCAAAUGUUUUUGAAUUUGAAGGGCUUCGUUUCUCAAAAGCACAGCAAAACACUGUGACAUUGGUUCUACGAUCUACUUAGACCUACGAUGCUUUUGAGAAACGAAGCCCUUACCUGGACAUAGCAGAGACAAGUCAUAUUUAAUUAAAAGACAGAGAUUAACUGAUAUAGUGGUAGAAAUGUAACUUUUUAAAUUUACAAGCGGCAGAUUUACUUUAGAAUUGCGAUUGGGUUGUAUUUAAUGGUGCUAUAUAAAAAAUGGUGCUAUUUAGUUUCUUGUCAUUAGUGGCAUAAUCAAACAAUACACUCUCUAUUUCAGCGUAUUAUAGUGGUUUUACUAAAAAAAAAACAAAAAAAAAACAAAGGCAAGACAUUUCUGGAUUUAUAUUGAUCACAUCACCUUUGCAGUAAAAAAACACAGCUUGUGUACUCGGGGUAAAGAUGAAUCACUUAGACACUUGAGAAAACAAUGAUUUGGGUCUUAAUCUUAAUUUCCCGCAUACAAAUACAGUAUACUGACCAAUAAAAUCAUAACUUGUACUCACCGCUCGGUCCAUUUCGACAAAUGACGUUUUAUGAAGGCCUCUCGUCUCUAUUGCUUUGAUGUUUGUCAAGAUGCGCUUACACCUCCUCCUGGUGAAGACGAUUUACAGCAGAUGAGAUUAUGCUCGGUAAUCUACUGAUUUUCCUGCUGUUCCCGGAUGUGAAACGUUGAAUUUACUGUCAAAUUUGAACCACUGAAUUUGUGGAAGCGAAUUUGUAAAGCGAAAUAAAAUGGACUGAAACUUGUUUGUUCAAUAUUAUAGGUUGUAUUUUUAAACAGAUCGAAUAUUUUUGAAGUGAAAUCUGAAAGGUGAAUAUGGAUUCUUGAAUUUUUGAUUAUAAAAAUCUGUUUGAAAUGUUUUUAAUUGAAAUAUUCAUGGCUUAAAUUUACAACCAUGUUGAAUUUCAGCCCAUAAUAAUGCAAGACUUAAAAAUUCAAUGCAUUAAUAUGCAAGUACGGUUAAUGCAAUGCAUAUUUUUUCAAUUAUUGUAAUUCAACAAGCUUUUUUAAUUCAAAAACAUUUGGCAUUAUUUUACUUCCAUAGUCCAGAAAGUUUUACGUGAGGAGUCUUUUUUAAUUAUGAGAAGUCAUUAUGUUGCUGUCUUGCCGCCAGCCAAUCGCUGCAUUGCUGUAUCUGCCCUUUAGGGGGAACACGAGAAUGCACAGUAAUCUUAGACAACUUAAUCCAUAUAUUUUAAUAAAAUCCACAAUUUCUUUUGAAGUACCAAAUUAGCCAGAGAUCAGUUAUCACAAUUCGAAGAUCUGGCAUCUUUCAAAUCAUCUCAGAUAUAUUAAGCGAUUUGUGAAGAACGGGCCCCUGAUGUGACUUGUUCUUAUGUUGCCUUUUGUUGAGACAUGAUAAUUCCUUGUAAAACGGUCAAAAUCUACCCAAAUAAUAAACCAUGGGUGACUGAAAUCUGUUAAAUCCAGAAUAGGAAAUAAGAGAUAGGUGUUUAAACAAGGUA